UGCGCAGGUGGGCUUGUAAGUCAGUGGUGAAAUACUGCCGCUUAACGGUAGAACUGCCAUUGAUACUGCAAGUCUUGAAUAUGGUUGAGGUAGGCGGAAUGUGUUGUGUAGCGGUGAAAUGCAUAGAUAUGACACAGAACGCCGAUUGCGAAGGCAGCUUACUAAGCCUUAUUGACGCUGAGGCACGAAAGCGUGGGGAGCGAACAGGAUUAGAUACCCUGGUAGUCC
rnacentral:rRNA from 1 species